rnacentral:rRNA from 1 species
GUCGAGAAUCUUCCGCAAUGGGCGAAAGCCUGACGGAGCGACGCCGCGUGGAGGACGAAGGCCUUCGGGUUGUAAACUCCUGUCACGGGUUAUGAAUGUCAUGUCGUGAACAGCGGCAUGGUUGACGUAAGCCCGAGAGGAAGCACUGGCUAACUCUGUGCCAGCAGCCGCGGUAAUACAGAGAGUGCGAACGUUGUUCGGAAUUACUGGGCUUAAAGCGCACGUAGGCGGCACCGCAAGUGUGGGGUGAAAUCCCACGGCUUACCCGUGGAACUGCCUGGCAGACUGCGGUGCUAGAGGAUGGUAGGGGAGAGCGGAACUCCUGGUGGAGCGGUGAAAUGCGUAGAUAUCAGGAGGAACACCGGUGGCGAAGGCGGCUCUCUGGUCCAUUUCUGACGCUGAGGUGCGAAAGCUAGGGGAGCAAACGGGAUUAGAUACCCGGGUAGUCC